CAGCAGUCCAAAAAUAUUAGUCAAUGCUCGCAAGAGUGAACUAGCUAACUGAAAUCUUUUAUGUGUCAUAAAGGAUAAAGUAAGAAAAAAUAAUGAUAUUAUCUUACUAUUAGUGUCGUCCAAAUACUGGUGCCAGAAGACUCGGUAAGGCCAGAGACGCAAACGUUAAUCGUCUUAAAAAGGCGUAAAGGGUGUGUAGGCUGCUUUAAACAUGAAAGAAAACAUAAUGAACUAAUCUAUGUCUUCAUCAUUUAUUAAAGCUAGAAUCAAAAAGAGGUUAUAUUAAAGAAUACUUAUAGUAAGGGUAAAAUCUGUAGAGAAUAAGUAGAAUAUUAAAGGCGAAGGCAUUUUACCACUAAUGAUUGACGCUGAGAAACGAAGGUAAGGAUAGGAAACAGGAUUAGAGACCCAGGUACCCCUUACUGUCAACGAUGAAUGGUAGUCACUAUUUUAAUAGAUCAGUAGUGGCAAUGUUAACACGUUAACCAUUCCGCCUUGUGAGUACGACUGCAAAGUUGAAAACAAAAAAAUUAGUCGGUCUCGGAGCAAACGAAUUGAAGCAUGUUAUUUAAUUCAUUAAUCC
rnacentral:rRNA from 1 species